rnacentral:rRNA from 1 species
UACGUAGGGUGCGAGCGUUAAUCGGAAUUACUGGGCGUAAAGCGUGCGCAGGCGGUUUUGUAAGCCAGAUGUGAAAUCCCCGGGCUCAACCUGGGAAUGGCAUUUGGGACUGCAAGGCUGGAGUACGGCAGAGGAGACUGGAAUUCCUGGUGUAGCAGUGAAAUGCGUAGAUAUCAGGAGGGAUACCGAUGGCGAAGGCAGGUCUCUGGGCUGAUACUGACGCUCAUGCACGAAAGCGUGGGGAGCAAACAGG